CACCAUCUCCUCCAACUCAAUGCGGUCAUAUUUACUCCCCAGGCCCUUGUCGACAAGAAUGUCCAGCUGUUUCUCUUGGUGCAUCUUCUUCACCUGAACAGCUCCAAUGUCAGUUAGUUUUUUGAAUAACAAUGCCAGUUAGUUUAGUCUGACCGGUGAUCAGCUCCAGCAACAGGAUUCCGAAACCAAAGACGUCGGUUUUCUCAGAUGACUGGCCAGUGGAGAGGUACUCAGGAGCUAUGUGGCCGACAGUUCCCCGCACAGCUGUGGUAACAUGUGAUUCACGGUGGUCUAGAAGCUUUGCAAGCCCAAAAUCCCCGACAAUGGCUUCACAACAGUCAUCUAGCAGUAUGUUUGCUGCCUUAACAUCUCUGUGGAUGAUCUUGGGAUCACAUUGCUCGUGCAGGUACAGUAGGCCUCUUGCUGCCCCAAGUGCUAUCCUCUUUCUGGUGAUCCAGUCUAGUGGCGGCUUCCCUGCAGUUGUUUUGGUGAAAAAAGAAGUUAAUGUUUUGUUUAUUAUGGGAAUCAUAUCCUUUGUUCUAAUAUUCUUCCCAAAGGAGAGGAAAUGGAAAUGGAACGCAGGAGUCAAAUUCCAAAUCUUCCUUUUCUGCUUUGUCAGCUUGGGUGGUUUGGUGUGUCUUCAAUUAUAUCCCGCGGCGCAGAGCAACACUCCCAUUCGACAUGUAUGGAUAGACCAGUAGCCUCUCACUGGCUGUCAUGCAGAAUCCGUAGAGUCUGAGGAGGUUCCUGUGCACUGCCAAGCUGAUCAUCUCGACUUCAGUCUGAAACUGCGCUUCCCCGCCUGCAGCGAUACCAUCUUUGAGCCUCUUGACAGCUACAAGAGUUCCAUCUGGGAGCUGCCCUCGUAGUCAAUACAGUAAGAUCAAGCUGAUUUUCCACCAUGGCAACUGAUGCCAUCAAGAUUACGGUCGAAGUACUGAGUUCAUGAAUCAACGAGUGACUUAUCCAUUUUACUUACCAUCAACACUGAAAAGAGUCUGCUGGUUUCGCCUAUGCCUCAACCAGAACAACAAUCCAACGGCAAGGAAGAGUAGGCUGAUGCAGCCAGUUGUAGCACCAAAUGCAAUUGCAACUUUAUGGCUUUUAGCUUUCUCAGGCAUCAGAGUACCUGUAGAUAAAAUUGUCAUUGUACGAAUUGCUAAUCACCACUGAACAUAGUACGUAACUGACUAACUCUGCAUACCCUGCGUGUUAUUAAGGCUGUAAGACAUUGGCAUAGGUAAAGACCCAUAACAAUCUUGUUCCA